rnacentral:sRNA from 1 species
AUGUACCACUCGUACACUCCGGUUCCUGUGCGCCGCCCGCCCCCACCUGACGACUGCUCGCUACGUUUUGUUAGCC